rnacentral:rRNA from 1 species
UACGAAGGGGGCGAGCGUUAUUCGGAAUCACUGGGCGUAAAGCGUGCGUAGGCUGUCUUGAAAGUUGGAAGUGAAAGCCCAGGGCUCAACCCUGGAAUUGCUUUCAAAACUACAAGACUCGGAUUUGGGAGAGGAUAGCGGAAUUGUCAGUGUAGCAGUGAAAUGCGUAGAUAUUGACAGGAACACCAGUGGCGCAAGCGGCUAUCUGGACCAACAUCGACGCUGAGGCACGAAAGCGUGGGGAUCAAACAGG